rnacentral:rRNA from 1 species
UACGUAGGUGGCAAGCGUUGUUCGGAAUUAUUGGGCGUAAAGGGCGCGUAGGCGGUCUUGUAAGUCAGCUGUGAAAGCCCGGGCUCAACCCGGAGGUGCAUCCGAAACUCUGGGGCUGGAGGUCGGAAGAGGAGGGUGGAAUACCCAGUGUAGAGGUGAAAUUCGUAGAUAUUGGGUGGAACACCCGUGGCGAAGGCGGCUACUCGUGGUACGUGACUGACGCUGAGACGGCGAAAGCGUGGGGAGCAAACAGGG